rnacentral:lncRNA from 1 species
GCAACGAAGUUAGAAAAAAGACAAGUCUCCCCUACCCUUGCCGAAGCUUUGGCACUUAGAUGAUGCCUCCAAUGGAUUCUAACAACUAACCAAAAUGGACACUUCAUUUUUGAAACAGACUCUCUGAAGUUGUUGUGCAUUGUUUGCAUGGUGCUAAAUGUUUGUCUUUAAUCGAGAAUAUCAUUCUUAAAUGUUGUUGCUCAUUGCUUAGUAGGAAUAA